rnacentral:rRNA from 1 species
GACGAACGCUGGCGGCGUGCUUAACACAUGCAAGUCGAACGGAAAGGCCCUGCUUUUGUGGGGUGCUCGAGUGGCGAACGGGUGAGUAACACGUGAGUAACCUGCCCUUGACUUUGGGAUAACUUCAGGAAACUGGGGCUAAUACCGGAUAGGAGCUCCCGCUGCAUGGUGGGGGUUGGAAAGUUUCGGCGGUAGGGGAUGGACUCGCGGCUUAUCAGCUUGUUGGUGGGGGAGUGGCUUACCAAGGCUUUGACGGGUAGCCGGCCUGAGAGGGUGACCGGCCACAUGGGGACUGAGAGACGGCGCAGACUCCUACGGGAGGCAGCAGGGGGGAAUAUUGCACAAUGGGCGGAAGCCUGAUGCAGCAACGCCGCGGGCGGGAUGACGGCCUUCGGGUUGUAAACCGCUUUCGCCUGUGACGAAGCGUGAGUGACGGUAAUGGGUAAAGAAGCACCGGCUAACUACGUG